UACGUAGGGUGCGAGCGUUAAUCGGAAUUACUGGGCGUAAAGCGUGCGCAGGCGGUCUGUUAAGACCGAUGUGAAAUCCCCGGGCUUAACCUGGGAAUGGCAUUGGUGACUGCACGGCUAGAGUGUGUCAGAGGGGGGUAGAAUUCCACGUGUAGCAGUGAAAUGCGUAGAUAUGUGGAGGAAUACCGAUGGCGAAGGCAGCCCCCUGGGAUAACACUGACGCUCAUGCACGAAAGCGUGGGGAGCAAACAGG
rnacentral:rRNA from 1 species